rnacentral:rRNA from 1 species
AUACGGGGGGUGCAAGCGUUAUUCGGAUUUAUUGGGCGUAAAGGGCGCGUAGGCGGCUUGGUAAGUCAGAUGUGAAAGCCCGGGGCUUAACCCCGGAAGUGCAUUUGAAACUAUCAGGCUUGAGUAUGGGAGAGGGAAGUGGAAUUCCUGGUGUAGAGGUGAAAUUCGUAGAUAUCAGGAGGAACACCGGUGGCGAAGGCGACUUCCUGGACCAAUACUGACGCUGAGGCGCGAAGGCGUGGGGAGCAAACAGGAUUAGAAACCCUUGUAGUCC